rnacentral:rRNA from 1 species
CCUACGGGUGGCAGCAGUGGGGAAUAUUGCACAAUGGGGGAAACCCUGAUGCAGCGACGCCGCGUGAGUGAAGAAGUAUCUCGGUACGUAAAGCUCUAUCAGUAGGGAAGAAAAUGACGGUACCUGACUAAGAAGCCCCGGCUAACUACGUGCCAGCAGCCGUGGUAAUACGUAGGGGGCAAGCGUUAUCCGGAUUUACUGGGUGUAAAGGGAGCGUAGACGGCAGGACAAGUCUGGAGUGAAAUCCCGGGGCUUAACCCCGGAACUGCGUUGGAAACUGUGCGGCUGGAGUGCAGGAGGGGUAAGCGGAAUUCCUAGUGUAGCGGUGAAAUGCGUAGAUAUUAGGAGGAACGCCGGUGGCGAAGGCAGCUUACUGGACUGUAACUGACGUUGAGGCUCGAAGGCGUGGGGAGCAAACAGGAUUAGAUACCCUUGUAGUC